UGAGGAAAGAUCAGGGGAAUCUACUACACAUAAAAUGCACUGUGAUUAUUCAGUUCCACCUGGAGAAUAAAAUAUCUUCCAACAGCUUCAGUGAGCCUUCACUAGGCUUCACCUUGAUGGAACACACCUCACAGACAGAAGUCCACACCAAUCGGCCUAUUCUCAUUGGUCCCCCUAUUGUGAGAGCCAACUGAUUUGGAUGGAAUUGAAUAUUCUCUUGAAGGUUCAAAGGAACAGAGAGCAGAGACACUAUGAUGGGUAUGAGAAAAAAUGACAGAGUUGGAUCAGGGCACUGUGCUGUGUUGAAGAUUAC